ACCAGCAGCAUACCACCCUGCAUCCCACUGCUGGCUUGCUUCUGAAGCUAAGCAGGGUUGGUCCUGGAUGGGAGACCAGAUGCUGCUGGAA
rnacentral:rRNA from 1 species